GUGCCAGCCGCCGCGGUAAUACGUAGGGGGCGAGCGUUGUCCGAAUUUACUGGGCGUAAAGCGCGCGUAGGCGGAUUUUUAAGUCGGUGGUGAAAUCUCAGGGCUUAACCCUGAAACUGCCGCCGAAACUGGAAGUCUUGAGGUAUGGAGAGGGAAGUGGAAUUCCUGGUGUAGCGGUGAAAUGCGUAGAUAUCAGGAGGAACACCCGUGGCGAAGGCGGCUUCCUGGCCAUAUCCUGACGCUGAGGUGCGAAAGCCAGGGGAGCGAACGGGAUUAGAUACCCCCGUAGUCC
rnacentral:rRNA from 1 species